rnacentral:rRNA from 1 species
UGGCUCAGAUUGAACGCUGGCGGCAGGCCUAACACAUGCAAGUCGAGCGGAAACGAGUUAUCUGAACCUUCGGGGAACGAUAACGGCGUCGAGCGGCGGACGGGUGAGUAAUGCCUAGGAAAUUGCCCUGAUGUGGGGGAUAACCAUUGGAAACGAUGGCUAAUACCGCAUAAUGCCUACGGGCCAAAGAGGGGGACCUUCGGGCCUCUCGCGUCAGGAUAUGCCUAGGUGGGAUUAGCUAGUUGGUGAGGUAAGGGCUCACCAAGGCGACGAUCCCUAGCUGGUCUGAGAGGAUGAUCAGCCACACUGGAACUGAGACACGGUCCAGACUCCUACGGGAGGCAGCAGUGGGGAAUAUUGCACAAUGGGCGCAAGCCUGAUGCAGCCAUGCCGCGUGUGUGAAGAAGGCCUUCGGGUUGUAAAGCACUUUCAGUCGUGAGGAAGGUAGUGUAGUUAAUAGCUGCAUUAUUUGACGUUAGCGACAGAAGAAGCACCGGCUAACUCCGUGCCAGCAGCCGCGGUAAUACGGAGGGUGCGAGCGUUAAUCGGAAUUACUGGGCGUAAAGCGCAUGCAGGUGGUUUGUUAAGUCAGAUGUGAAAGCCCGGGGCUCAACCUCGGAAUUGCAUUUGAAACUGGCAGACUAGAGUACUGUAGAGGGGGGUAGAAUUUCAGGUGUAGCGGUGAAAUGCGUAGAGAUCUGAAGGAAUACCGGUGGCGAAGGCGGCCCCCUGGACAGAUACUGACACUCAGAUGCGAAAGCGUGGGGAGCAAACAGGAUUAGAUACCCUGGUAGUCCACGCCGUAAACGAUGUCUACUUGGAGGUUGUGGCCUUGAGCCGUGGCUUUCGGAGCUAACGCGUUAAGUAGACCGCCUGGGGAGUACGGUCGCAAGAUUAAAACUCAAAUGAAUUGACGGGGGCCCGCACAAGCGGUGGAGCAUGUGGUUUAAUUCGAUGCAACGCGAAGAACCUUACCUACUCUUGACAUCCAGAGAACUUUCCAGAGAUGGAUUGGUGCCUUCGGGAACUCUGAGACAGGUGCUGCAUGGCUGUCGUCAGCUCGUGUUGUGAAAUGUUGGGUUAAGUCCCGCAACGAGCGCAACCCUUAUCCUUGUUUGCCAGCGAGUAAUGUCGGGAACUCCAGGGAGACUGCCGGUGAUAAACCGGAGGAAGGUGGGGACGACGUCAAGUCAUCAUGGCCCUUACGAGUAGGGCUACACACGUGCUACAAUGGCGCAUACAGAGGG